GCCCUUGUGGCUCAGUGGUAGAGCGCGUCCUUGGUAAGGACGAGGUCGUGGGUUCAAUUCCCACCAGGGGCU
rnacentral:tRNA from 1 species